UAAUUAUGAAAUAUUUUAGUUAAAUGAAUUUGGGAUUAUUGGUGUGUUAAUAAGCUUGAAUUGAUAGUUAGUGUUAGUCUAUUGAGUUAUGGUACGCAUUGUAUUAGUUUGGAUUGGAAAGGUGAAUCUUGACAUCUUGUACUCUAUGUAUCGUUAUGUGGUAUACUUGAAUCAAAGCAUGAUUAUGAUUAACUCAAUCUUGUUCACACAUUGCAAGGUGGUUUAGGACUUGGCAUAACAUGGCAAGAAAGGUUUCAUGGCAUGGAUUUAGAAGACCUUAUCCUGAAUCAUGGCUUGAAGAAGCAUAAUUUGAUUUGCACAUGAAGCAAGCUUGGAAUGUGAAGUCAAGGGAGAAAAUGGAAGAAUGAAGACACAAAAAGGAAAUUAGGGUUAUGUUUAGAAAGUCGGUUAGUUGACUUUGGUCAAAUGGUUGACCAAAAAGUCAACAGUUGACCAAAAGUCAACUGUAGGUCAAACUUUUUUUUUGUAGUUUUUGUAUUAGACUUUGCAAAUGAUAUUAGAUGAAUGCAAUGGACAAUUUGAUGGAAAGGAUGCUUUAAAUCAAUGCAAAAUGCUAUUUUUCCAUAUUGUAAUUUUUCCCGCCAAAACUAUGUUUGAAUUCUCCUUGAAUUAGAUGAGUUAUGAAUGCAUUAUGCACUAUGAAGUA
rnacentral:lncRNA from 1 species